UGCCUUGAUGCUGAUGGUUUCCUAUAGA
rnacentral:piRNA from 1 species